UACGUAGGUGGCAAGCGUUGUCCGGAAUUAUUGGGCGUAAAGCGCGCGCAGGCGGUCCUUUAAGUCUGAUGUGAGAGCCCACGGCUCAACCGUGGAGGGUCAUUGGAAACUGGGGGGACUUGAGUGCAGAAGAGGAGAGUGGAAUUCCACGUGUAGCGGUGAAAUGCGUAGAGAUGUGGAGGAACACCAGUGGCGGAAGGCG
rnacentral:rRNA from 1 species